rnacentral:sRNA from 1 species
GAGCCACGAGGGCCAGCCUCCACUCAUGAGGUUCUAGUUGUCACGAGGAUGACUGGACCUAAGGAUGUAUACGUAUGUAUGUGCUAUUAUGGAUUUAUGGAUACUAUGUUGGUUAUGAAUGUGUUGUUAGAAGUUAAAGCAUGUUAGGUUGAUUGCAUGUGUCAAAGUUUAUAUGUUAUGAUGAUGGUUGUAUAGCUUUAGAAAGUGUUCUAUGUUUCAGUGGGCAGAGUUGAUUCCCCUCACUGAGUAUUCUUUACUCACCCCCUUUUUCUCCUUUUUCCUCAAGUUAGUAAAAGUGAGGAGUUGUGUGCAAUAUUUUGUUCGUGUGUGAAGUUAAAGAAAACGUUUUUGGCAAGAUCAGAUGAAUAACAUGUCGUCUUGGCCUAUAUGGCGGGA